GGAGCAGACUUAAGGAUGGAGGAAAAUAUGAGUGGAAGAGGAGAAAAUCUGACCUAACACGUGGAAAAUGAAUAAAACAAUGAAAGAGGGAAGGAGUGAACGAGGGGACGAGGGAGGGAGAACCGGCGGUACAAGUCAUCUAAGAAUAAUAACGAUAACAAAACCAACGGUAAUAUUUAAUCCAGGAAGUAAAACAAGACAACACAUCAACACACACGCAUUGUCAUCGAUCUAUUGCAGUGCGCUUACCUGUCCCAUCACCACGAGUGCUGUGUGUUUAGCGCUCACCUGCGAUCAUUAGGACAGCCACGCGCGCAGGGUCACGUGACGCACCGAUUACUGAGGGCGGCCGCGGGCACAGGAGGCGAGUGAUGUUGCUUGCCUUUAUUCCAUUUUGUGACGCGUAAAGUGACUGUGCGUGAGCGUGACGGCGUGCAGAGGUGCGUGAAGGUGUGUUGCAUCACCUGUAGCAGCUUCAUAUUACUAAGGACCUAUGCAAGCAAGUGUCAGCAGGGUCUUCAAGUGUGUGUGUGCACCGUGUUGAGUGAUAAGUCGGUGCAGGAAAUCAAGAUGCCUCCAACACACCUUGAUCAAAGGAGAACUGCACACCAGUUCUUCAGGAUUAAAAAUUUCUUAAGGGUUAUUGGGGCCAUUGAUGGCAGCCACAUUGCCAUGAAGGGCCAAAGUGUGGAUGAGGCCCUCUACUUGAACUGGAAAAGGUAUCACUCCCUCUGAACAUCCAACUUGUUUGUGAUGCAAGUGGAGUGAUCCUCAGCUACUGCUCCAGAUUGCCAGGUGCCUGCACUCUUGUGGAGGUGGCUUGCAGUACAGAACCAUCAAGUGUGUCAAAAUAAUUAAUGCUUGCCUGCUCCUACACAACUGCUGCAUCAAGUUCCUGAUGACCUACCACCUCUUGAGGAUGAAGCAGUGCCCCAUGCCGAUACCAACCCUGCCGUGCUGUAGAGGGAUCAUUGUGCUCCAGGCAGAAUUGUGUAGCAAGAAAUCAUACAAAACUUCUUCCAGCAAUGCAGUAAGGAAGUGAGAUUGUCAAAGUGCCUGGGACAUGUUUUGUACAGCCAGCUGCACCAUCACCAACUCGUCCAAGCUCAGACUAAUCUGCUGUUGGGUUUCCUGUGCUUGAGAGAGAACUUCUGAGUGAGUCUGAGUGGCCACCUGCAGUACAGUUCAGAAGCAAACAUGACUUUACACCACAAGUUACAAAUUAAGUGGUAUUUUAAGUUACAUGUCAUGCUGUGUCCUUUUACCUCAUUUGCUCCUUGGACCUUUCUGCUAUACAGUACCCAGGGUGGUGGUGUGAUGCACUUAUGGAAUCAACACUUUAUAUUCCUCAGAGAUGUAUUCCUCAAAAAAGAAAAUUAAUUAAUUAAAAAAAAAAGGUCAAAAUAGCAAGAACAACAGACUUAGUGGCAGGAGUUGUAUAAUCAGUGUUCAUUGUACUGGAGGACACAACUGAAUACAUGUUAACAUGUUAUUCAGCAUUGCAUGUAGUCAUCUAUAACGUGGAUAAUUUGAACAAAGAUGUUCUCAUUCAGUGCAGAUGACACAGCAUUGUCAAAUCCAGAGGCCCCUGUGGACCCAGCAACACCAGCAGAAGAGGGUUGGAUGGCUCCAACACUACUGCUGGUUGUGGUCUACUACUACGGCUGUGGUCCUUCUAGAGGCCCUGACACUUCUGAAAAAAAAAAAAAAAAAAAAAAAAACUGCUGUCAUUACUGCAGGGUAUGGCAGUCCUGCAAAUGCUGUGUGAGGCAACAUCCACAGCAUGACCAACUCCACAGCAGUGUGUGUUGUCUCAUCUGGAGGCCCCCACCUGCAUGGAUAUGAAUGUUGCAAUUAUCACCCACUUAGAAGUUCACAUGUAAAGCCAAAUCAACUUGGUGUAUCAUGAAUGCAUUAGAGCACAAUAAUGUUAUCUAGCACUGCAGUGGUCACUGUCUCAGACCUGACUGCCAGAGGUACUGUACAUACUCCUAUUUAUAAUCCAUUGCUUAGUUGGUUCUUGAUUAUGUUUAUUGACUAUAUGAGUAAAUUUUGUAACAGCACCAAUAAUUAAAUACAUAUACACAAGAACAAACUUCUUUUUAUACAACUGCAGGGGUUUUAAGCACUGCUAACAAUCACCUAACCUAACUAAUCUAAACAUAACUUAACCCUCCUUCCUCAACAAAGUAAAAUCAAUAUUCAAGAAAUAAAAUUUAAUACAGCAGUUUGUGUCCCAAAGGCUGACCAGAAAGAAACAUUUUUUUUCUCUCAAUAUGUAACAAAGUCAUACAGAGGAAUUUGUUCAUAUUACUCAAAACAAUGUUCAGCAAUGCCCAAAACAUCAGUUAAUUAAAUUCCAUGAGCAAUUAGGUCAAGACAAAAUAUGAAUCAAAUAUGGUAGUGUGGGUAAAUUUUUACUCUUUCAUCUGUUUAUCUUUUCCACAUGAAACUAUUUGCUUUUUGUUAUUUUUGGCCUACACUGAAUUAGUAUGUUAAUCAAACCUGAUGUAACCUUACCAAAGUAAUCUAACAAAACCAAAAUAAUAUAAC